UCAUGAAUGGAUGAUAGCUAGGUAGUUGGUCAUGAAUGGAUGAUAGCUAGGUAGUUGGUAGCUAUAGCUCUCAUGAAUGGAUGAUAGCUAGGUAGUUGGUCAUGAAUGGAUGAUAGCUAGGUGGUUGGUAGCUAUAGCUCCAUGAAUGGAUGAUAGCUAGGUGGUUGGUCAUGAAUGGAUGAUAGCUAG